rnacentral:rRNA from 1 species
AGAGUUUGAUCAUGGCUCAGAUUGAACGCUGGCGGCAGGCCUAACACAUGCAAGUCGAACGGUAACAGGAAACAGCUUGCUGUUUCGCUGACGAGUGGCGGACGGGUGAGUAAUGUCUGGGAAACUGCCUGAUGGAGGGGGAUAACUACUGGAAACGGUAGCUAAUACCGCAUAACGUCGCAAGACCAAAGAGGGGGACCUUCGGGCCUCUUGCCAUCGGAUGUGCCCAGAUGGGAUUAGCUUGUAGGUGAGGUAACGGCUCACCUAGGCGACGAUACAUAGCCGACCUGAGAGGGUGAUCGGCCACACUGGGACUGAGACACGGCCCAGACUCCUACGGGAGGCAGCAGUAGGGAAUCUUCGGCAAUGGGGGCAACCCUGACCGAGCAACGCCGCGUGAGUGAAGAAGGUUUUCGGAUCGUAAAGCUCUGUUGUAAGUCAAGAACGAGUGUGAGAGUGGAAAGUUCACACUGUGACGGUAGCUUACCAGAAAGGGACGGCUAACUACGUGCCAGCAGCCGCGGUAAUACGUAGGUCCCGAGCGUUGUCCGGAUUUAUUGGGCGUAAAGCGAGCGCAGGCGGUUUGAUAAGUCUGAAGUUAAAGGCUGUGGCUCAACCAUAGUUCGCUUUGGAAACUGUCAAACUUGAGUGCAGAAGGGGAGAGUGGAAUUCCAUGUGUAGCGGUGAAAUGCGUAGAUAUAUGGAGGAACACCGGUGGCGAAAGCGGCUCUCUGGUCUGUAACUGACGCUGAGGCUCGAAAGCGUGGGGAGCGAACAGGAUUAGAUACCCUGGUAGUCCACGCCGUAAACGGUGGAUGCUGGAUGUGGGGCCCGUUCCACGGGUUCCGUGUCGGAGCUA